GGUUGACUAAGGAGGAAGACAUGGGAUUGACACGAUCCAUCAACGUCCUAGUGGUCGGAGCAGCCUUCGUAUUCGUCGUGACGAUGCUUUUCAUCUGACGAAGAACGAUCACCGCAGACAACCGAACUCCUGAAAGCAAACAAAACAGCCUAUUCCAUUUAAAAAGCGCAUGCCGAAGAUCGACAUGCGCUUU
rnacentral:sRNA from 17 species